rnacentral:rRNA from 1 species
AUUGAACGCUGGCGGCAGGCCUAACACAUGCAAGUCGAACGAGUGGCGGACGGGUGAGUAAUGUAUGGGAAACUGCCCGAUGGAGGGGGAUAACUACUGGAAACGGUAGCUAAUACCGCAUACCAUCGGAUGUGCCCAGAUGGGAAUAGCUAGCAGGUGGGGUAACGGCUAACCUCGGCGACGAUCCCUAGCUGGUCUGAGAGGAUGACCAGCCAAACUGGAACUGAGACACGAUCCAGGAACCUACGGAAGGCAGCAGUGGGGAAGAUGGCACAAUGGGCGCAAGCCUGAUGCAGCCAUGCCGCGUGUAUGAAGAAGGCCUUCGGGUUGUAAAGUACUUUCAGCGAGGAUGCGUUACUCGCAGAAGAAGCACCGGCUAACUCCGUGCCAGCAGCCGCGGUAAUAC